rnacentral:lncRNA from 1 species
UAAUCAACCCUAAUCCAAACAUAUCAUGACUUAAGUAGAUUUCAUUAGUCCUUGAAUUCAGACCUCAAAAGUUCAUCAAAAAUAAUUCAAAUGAAAUAAAACAAGUCACCAUUAAAUUCUAGAGGCAAAAAUAAAAGGGGUUUAUGUUCAACACAUUUUCAAAAUAAUAAAAAUGGAAGGGUUAAAAGAAUAAAAUCAAAAAGGAUAAUAAAAUGGAAAAUAAAAAAUAAAAUAACACAAGUAUGAGAAUAAAAUGGUCAGGGUACACAGGCUUGGGGUUGAACCCCUGACAUUAGGGUCACAGGGAUAUCAACCACCUCACCCACUGGGCCACAAGCCAGAUUGUGAUAUAAAAUAGAUUAAAA